AUUGAACGCUGGCGGCAUGCCUUACACAUGCAAGUCGAACGGCAGCGCGGGGCAACCUGGCGGCGAGUGGCGAACGGGUGAGUAAUAUAUCGGAACGUACCCUGGAGUGGGGGAUGAACGUAGCGAAAGUUACGCUAAUACCGCAUACGAUCUAAGGAUGAAAGUGGGGAUCGCAAGACCUCAUGCUCCUGGAGCGGCCGAUAUCUGAUUAGCUAGUUGGUGGGGUAAAGGCCUACCAAGGCAUCGAUCAGUAGCUGGUCUGAGAGGACGACCAGCCACACUGGAACUGAGACACGGUCCAGACUCCUACGGGAGGCAGCAGUGGGGAAUUUUGGACAAUGGGCGCAAGCCUGAUCUAGCAAUGCCGCGUGAGUGGAGAAGGCCUCGGGUUGUAAAGCGUCUUUUGUCAGGGAAGAAAUCGGU
rnacentral:rRNA from 1 species